rfam:Fictibacillus enclensis strain NIO-1003 genomic scaffold Scaffold3, whole genome shotgun sequence.
AGGUGAUGCCUCCUUACCUCUAUCAAAGGAGGCACUCGGUUAUGCUGUGGGUGUCUUACAGCACCUUAGACGCGAGUCGUCGAUAGCAUGAUGUGAGGACGGGUUAAAUGCCCU